AUUAUGACAGACUUGUAUUUUUGGGGGGUGAACGGCACUGUUCAUGUCACUGAAUUUUGCUAGACAGAAUGCACAGUGAUAUUGAAGCUGUUGUUAGUAUUUGCACAAAAACAUGUUUUGUUUGAAACAAUUCAGUUAGAGGAAAUAAAAAAUUAAGAAACGCCUUUCUUCAAUAAACUGACAGUUUUUCAUGUUCGUGCAGCAUCCACUCAAUAUGUUUAAUAAAAUAUUGAACUCACCAGGUGAAUUAUAAAUGAUUUAUUAAUCUUUCAAUGGAUACCAUGCACAGGACGAGCAUGUGUGACUACGUUCCUCACUAAGGGAAACUGGCGAGUAUUGAGUGUGACAGGCCUAUUAACUUGCGAUAUGCAUAAUGCAGCUGACAUCGUCUUGUUUCCAUGGCUCAGAGUUGGGGUCUGAAACGCUCUAUUUCUACCACUCCUUGCUGCUCUCUACCUGUGGAUGAAGGAUGACAGUUGGGCAGCUCUUGCUUCCCCUUAAUAAUGACAGAUGGGACUCGGUCGACAAACACAUGGCUUCACAUGAGCAAAGUAGAACAGAAGUUUGUUACGUGAUCGAGUUUUGGAUCAGAGUGAAUCUCACAAAACCUGUCAGGAACAUGCAUGCACUAUAUUUUCCCUGAAAAUCAACAGAAAGAAAAAAGAGUCCCCUAAAAAUGCCCCCUAGUGUUGGUGAAAAUGAUCAGAGUUGAAUUCUGCAUUGUUAACUUUACUCUGUUAAGCUCCGCCCCUCAAGCCAACCCCGAAGACCAGAGCUAAAGUUCUCUCGUCGCCAUUUUCUUUUGCCUUGCACCAAUAAGCUCUUUUAAUUAAUUUAUUAAAACAUAAGUUUAAUAUUUGAGGUUAAUAAUUGUGUUACUAUUAAUGCAUAAGUUUAACUUUGUGUAAUUUGAUUGGUUUAAACUCGGGAAUAUCGAAUAGGUAUUGAAUAGGCAAGUUAGUAUGUUGGAGAAAUGUUUUUUCCAUCUCAAUGUGGUAAUGAUAAAAGUUUAAAUGAUCUGACACAUCUGUAUGUAUUGGACGGUCGAAAUGUUCUCGGUAGGACUGUGGCCUGGGUUUGCCUGAUGUUAGAAUUAACAAGCUCCUCCUGUGCAGUCAAAUCAGUCCCUGUCUUCAUCCUUUGACUCCAGUGACUCGCAGGACACACUCAUUAUUGAAGAAAGGUCUUCCAGUAAAGGAAUGAGACUAGAUGAUGGAGCUAAAAGUACAUCACCACCAAGGAAGGUGAACGAAGCCAGAGGAAUUGUGCUUUUGUUCCCGUACCUUCUUCAAAAAUGGCUAUGCCAGAAGAGACCAGGAAAGGUGUCUACGUCUUAAGUAGGGAUAUCUUCUAGAAGAGUGGAACAAGCAUUGAGGAGCAUAUUCAAGACAUCGCUGGAAGUGCUCAGCCCUGUCUACUGGCUCUGGGAAGAAUUAUUCAGUUCACCAGUACUUCAAUUUUGAUCAGAAUGCCAUUCCAUGCAAGUCAGUCUCUUCUCUUGAUGCCUUUAACAAACUGUUUACCCAAAAAUGAAAAUUGUCAUCAUUUACUCACCCUCAUGUCGUUCCAAACCUGUAAGACUUUCGUUCAUCUUCAAAACACCAAUGAAGAUAUUUUAAUGAAAUCUGAGAGAUUUCUGUCCUUACAUUGGGAGUCCACGCAAGCUAGCACAUUCAAGGCCCAGAAAGGUAGUAAUGACAUCAUUAAAGUUAUCAUGUGACUCCACUGGUUUAACCUCAAUUUUAUGCAUGCAUUCACAACGUCUGCUUUAAUUACAACAAAACUCUCAUCCGUCGUCGUGCUCUCGUGUACGCUUGUCAGGGAUUAAUACUUUCAUAAAGUGGUAAAUUAUUAUUUUUUCUUCUUCGUGCAAACAAAGCGCUCGUGUUGCUUAAUAAAACUGAAGUUAAAUCACCAGAGUCACACGGGUUAAUUUAAUGAUGUCUUUAACACCUUUCCGGGCCUUGAACGUUGUAGUUAUAGGCUGUUGAUGAAAGGAUAGAAGUCUGCCAGAUUUCAUUAAAAAUAUCUUCAUUUGUGUUCCGAAAAUGAACAAAAGUCUUAUAGGGUUGGAAUGACACGAGGGUGAGUAAUUAAUGAGAAUUCUGAUUUUUGGUGAACAAACUUCUUAAGGCACACUUUGUUUUUGGCACCACUUAUAACACUAUUCUACACAAGAUGUACACUUUCAUUCAGACCACUGUGUACAACAAAGAUGUUGGCAAAGUGAAGGUCCUUGUAUUGCUGAGGUUAGAGCAAGGCUGCUUAGCUAGGUGGUUCAACAGGCUCUGUACUGAAUAUAGUGAUGUAUUGUCAUUUCAUGCAGACGUCACGUGAUGUAUUUUUGUGCAUGAAAUUGUGUAUGUUUCUUGAGCAUGACAGCAUUGUAAUAAAUGUUUUGAAUUUGACGUCGUUGAUCUUGUUUUCUGUUCUGUUUUUAAAACACCAAAUGGGAUUUAAAAUUAGAGAAUUUUUUCACUAUUAUAAAUGUAAAUGAACUCUACAUAAGUGAAAUAUUAACAC